rnacentral:rRNA from 1 species
CGUAGGCACCAAGCGUUGUCCGGAUUUAUUGGGCGUAAAGAGCUCGUAGGCGGUUCGGUAAGUCGGGUGUGAAAACUCUGGGCUCAACCCAGAGCCGCCACCCGAUACUGCUGUGACUUGAGUUCGGUAGGGGAGCGGGGAAUUCCUGGUGUAGCGGUGAAAUGCGCAGAUAUCAGGAGGAACACCAGUGGCGAAGGCGCCGCUCUGGGCCGAGACUGACGCUGAGGAGCGAAAGCGUGGGUAGCAAACAGGAUUAGAUACCCUGGUAGUCCACGCCGUAAACGUUGGGCACUAGGUGUGGGUCUCAACCAACGAGAUCCGCGCCGUCGCUAACGCAUUAAGUGCCCCGCCUGGGGAGUACGGUCGCAAGACUA